UCCGGUUUAACACCGGCGGUCUCCCUAGAGUGCCCAACUGAAUGCUGGCAACUAAGGAUAAGGGUUGCGCUCGUUAAGGGACUUAACCCGACAUCUCACGAUACGAGCUGACGACAGCCAUGCAGCACCUGUCUCCCGGCCCCCGAAGGGGAAACCCUAUCUCUAGGGCUGUCCGGGGAUGUCAAACCCAGGUAAGGUUCUUCGCGUUGCAUCGAAUUGAACCACAUGCUCCACCGCUUGUGCGGGCCCCCGUCAAUUCCUUUGAGUUUUAACCUUGCGGCCGUACUUCCCAGGCGGGGUACUUAAUGCGUUAGCGUCGACACUGUAGGGGUCAAUUCCCACAACAUCUAGUACCCAUCGUUUACAGCGUGGACUAC
rnacentral:misc_RNA from 1 species